rnacentral:rRNA from 1 species
AUGAACGCUGGCGGCGUGCCUAAUACCUGCAAGUCGAGCGAACAGACGAGGAGCUUGCUCCUCUGACGUUAGCGGCGGACGGGUGAGUAACACGUGGAUAACCUACCUAUAAGACUGGGAUAACUUCGGGAAACCGGAGCUAAUACCGGAUAAUAUAUUGAACCGCAUGGUUCAAUAGUGAAAGACGGUUUUGCUGUCACUUAUAGAUGGAUCCGCGCCGCAUUAGCUAGUUGGUAAGGUAACGGCUUACCAAGGCAACGAUGCGUAGCCGACCUGAGAGGGAGAGGGGACAAAGGGGAAAUGAAAAAGGGUCAAAACACAUAGGGGGGGCAAGAGGAGGAAAUGUUGCGCAGGGGGAAAGAGCGUAAGGGAAAAACGCGGGGAGAGGAGAAAGGGGCUGGGGAUCAUAAAACUGUUGAAUGAGGAAAAAAAAAAUGGGAAAGUAAAUUGCAACGUUUGAAGGGUAAUAAACAAAAAAGCAACGGCAAACUAAGG